CAGCCGCCGCGGGAAUACGAAGGGUGCAAGCGUUAAUCGGAAUUACUGGGCGUAAAGCGUGCGUAGGCGGUGAGUUAAGUCUGCUGUGAAAUCCCCGGGCUCAACCUGGGAAUGGCAGUGGAUACUGGCUCGCUAGAGUGUGUCAGAGGAUGGUGGAAUUCCCGGUGUAGCGGUGAAAUGCGUAGAGAUCGGGAGGAACAUCAGUGGCGAAGGCGGCCAUCUGGGACAACACUGACGCUGAGGCACGAAAGCGUGGGGAGCAAACAGGAUUAGAUACCCCAGUAGUCCCUGUCUCUUAUAA
rnacentral:rRNA from 1 species